rnacentral:rRNA from 1 species
AUUGAACGCUGGCGGCAGGCCUAACACAUGCAAGUCGAACGGUAACAGGAAACAGCUUGCUGUUUCGCUGACGAGUGGCGGACGGGUGUGUCAUGUCUGGGAAACUGCCUGAUGGAGGGGGUUAACUACUGGAAACGGUAGCUAAUACCGCAUAACGUCGCAAGACCAAAGAGGGGGACUUUCGGGCCUCUUGCCAUCAGCUUUGCCCAGAUGGGAUUAGCUAGUAGGUGGGGUAACGGCUCACCUAGGCGACGAUCCCUAGCUGGUCUGAGAGGAUGACCAGCCACACUGGAACUGAGACACGGUCCAGACUCCUACGGGAGGCAGCAGUUGGGAAUAUUGCACAAUGGGCGCAAGCCUGAUGCAGCCAUGCCGCGUGUAUGAAGAAGGCCUUCGGGUUGUAAAGUACUUUCAGCGGGGAGGAAGGGAGUAAAGUUAAUACCUUUGCUCAUUGACGUUACCCGCAGAAGAAGCACCGGCUAACUCCGUG